CCCCCUCAAUGCUAUUUUUCAUUAGAAUCUUAGAGUCAAUCUGUGGUAUAAUUUUUGCUACUUUAGCCUGGGGCAGUAGCGCAAUUGGCUUUGUCAGGGUCUUCUCGCCCUGAUCAGUACACUGCUGGCCGCCCAUGGGGGCGCCAUUUGCAGGAUGAUGCCCCCCUUCACCAUCUACAUCCAUUCUCUGUUCAUGUAAUUUUUUAUUUUCAUCAUUUAGAUCACCCCCUUCAUUUUCUUUCUCCUUCAGAUCCUCCUCCUUAGAAGUAUCAUGUCAAUUACCUGUGGCUCACCAUUAGAAUUAUCCUCUUCAACUUUGAAUUGUAAACUAUAAACUUGGUCACCAAUAACCACAUCAGCAUAGUCUGGUAUAAGGUUAGGUGCAAGCACAGCUAUUUUCAUUCUGCAUCUACCGGAUUCAUUGGUGAAGGCCAUGUCUACAGCUUUUGG
rnacentral:lncRNA from 1 species